rnacentral:ncRNA from 1 species
CAACAGUACUGCUGCUCAAUAUGGGAGGUACUGCAGUUUCAGCCGUGGUGUUGGUGCUUAGCUGAGGAGCCAAUGGUGAGAAGCUACCAUUUGUGGGAUUAUGACUGAAUGCCUCUAUGUAAGAAUCCUCCCUGAAAGG